UACGUAGGGGGCAAGCGUUGUCCGGAUUUAUUGGGCGUAAAGAGCGUGUAGGCGGCUAUACAGGUCCGCUGUGAAAACUCGAGGCUCAACCUCGAGACGUCGGUGGAAACCGUAUGGCUAGAGUCCGGAAGAGGAGAGUGGAAUUCCUGGUGUAGCGGUGAAAUGCGCAGAUAUCAGGAAGAACACCCGUGGCGAAGGCGGCUCUCUGGGCCGAUACUGACACUGAGAAGCGAAAGCGUGGGGAGCGAACAGG
rnacentral:rRNA from 1 species